rnacentral:sRNA from 1 species
UUUCUCUUCGUGCAGAAGCAGCAGCAAAGCUGCUGUUCUUGUUUUUUCCUCUCCUUUGCCCUCCUAACCUCCAACCAUCAUAUCUUUUUCAUUCGGACAACGAUUUCGACUAAUCUUAUAUCAAAAUUCAUGCCGUAGUCGCGCCCAACACUUUUGUCACCUUUGAAUCUCUGAACAACCACUGCACCAGGCAGAUUGAAGGCGAGGAAAUAAGUCACCUUCGCCGGAAAAUUCGAUUUUCUGGCCAAACCGACGGGAAAUGGGUCUCGGACCAACAGAUAAAGUUGAUCCUCUCCUCACGGGAUUUCUACCUAUACUCGAUUUGUUGACUGGACGAGGAAUCGAAGCUCAGCUGCAAGUUAGGACAUGAAUACGGACGAUUUGGGUGCAAGGUCUUUUAGACAGUCUAGACACUUAAGAGAGCAUCCUCCUCACAACAAGGACAGAGCGAAGUUCCUCCCUUGUCGAGCGCAACACAUGUCACCUUUGUAUCUCUGAACAACCACUAGACCAGGCAGAUUGAAGGCGAGGAAAGAAGUCACCUUGGCUGGAAAAGUGGAUUUUCAGGCCAAACCUACGAAAACGGGUCUCGGCGAGGAAAGACAUCACCUCUGAACUACCACUUACUCUUUUCUUGUUUUGCGUCUCUUUUUAGGACCUAAAGGCAGAGAUCUGGUGGAUGUCCAGGACUGGCAGACAGCUUUGACACACUUCUACACUUGUCGUAGAAUUUUUGUAAUAAAUCCAUCUGCGUAUCUAUAAAAUAUCUCGAAAUUUCAUUUGAAUACUAUAACUUUUGCAUGCACAUUAGUACUGACGCUCCGAACUAACAACAUGCUUGUAGUAGAGGGUCUUAGCCUUUUGGGGAUGUACUGUUGUCAAAUAUUUCUGAACUACUAUGUAUAUAGGUUGGGUUUAAUCAUGUUUUAAGGCAAACUAUACCAACUUUUUUUACCUAUUUUGCGAUGAGGCGAAUGUGAAAAUGAA